UUAAUCCUAUUUAACCUGCAGAUAUUAAGCAGCAGGAGUUAUCCAGAGACUCAGCAAAAGAAUCUGGAUUGGUCCCCUAACUCUAUGUCAUGUUGUUUUCAUCAUACCACACUGCCAUUCGAUCAGUGAUGUUAAAUUAAAUGAGCAGGAACCACUAGCUUGAGGCUGUCUCCGUACUUUGAGUUCCUAUAUACUUAACAAACUGUAACCUAACUUGGUGCAAAACAAAUGGAAAGCCUAACUUAGGAGUAUAUUUUGUAACAGCCAAGCUUCAGCCAAUGACAGGCAGCCAAGUGAUCAGACCAUCCCCAAAUAAGGCAGCCACUUAACUGUAGCCAAUCAGGUGAUUUUUCUACUUUGCUUCUAUGUUUGGCCUAUAAAAACUUGUUGCUCACACUGCUUUGCUCAAAUAAACUCUGCUAAAUUUAAUUUGUCUCCUUUUUUUUUUGUUUGAGACAGAGUCUCACUCUGUUGCCAGGCUGGAGUACAAUGGUGUGAUCUUGGCUCACUGCAACCUCUGCCUCCCUCCCGGGUUCAGGUGAUUCUCCUUCCUCAGCCUCCCGAGUAGCUGGGAUUACAGGUGCCUACACCACCACGCCUGGCUAAUGUUUGUAUUUUUAGUAGAGAUAGGGUUUCACCAUGCUGCCCAAGCUGGUCUUGAACUCCUGGCCUCAAGUGAUCUGCCUGCUUCAGCCUCCCAAAGUGCUGGGAUUACAGGUGUGAACCACCAUGCCUGGACUAAAGUUGUUGUUGUUGUUUUUUUUAAUGGUGUGAAAUAUGGUGAUAGUUCAUAUAAAUAUCUGUGUCAGUUCCUAAAAAGAAUAUAGAGGAAUAAAAGACCAAUGCACUUGUAUGCACUUGGUGAAUCUUACCUACCACAAACAGAAGUCUGGAAAGUGAAAAUUUAUUUCCUUUUCACCAUGACCAGCCUUGUUCAGGUAAUUCUCCAGAGAUAACUACUCUUAAGAGAACAUCUGAGAGGCACAGACCUGAGAAAGAAUCCCCAGGCUGAAGAGGUAGAAGUUGGCAGAAGUUAAAAGCAAUGUCUCCACAAUGGAGAAGUGACAUGCUAAAGGAACCUGGCAUCUAGACAUUUCCUAACCCCCAAUCCCUCCUUACAUAUGACCUGCUCUUAGAGGAGUACAGCGUGGUGGUUAGGAGUGUGGACUCGGCAGCCAGAAAUCCUGGGAUCUGUUGCUUGUUAGCUGUGGGCCUUAAGCUAAGAACUUAACCUCUCUGUGCCUCAGUUGCUCCAUCUGUUCAAAUGAAGAUAAUGAUAAUGAAGAUGAUAUCACCUGCUGUGUAGGAUUGUUAUGAAAAAUCAAGAAUUAAUAUUUGUAAAUCACUUACAGGGUCUGGCACAUAAUAAGUGCUGUGUGGGUGUUUGUUAAAUAAAAUAAUAUACAAUGACAUAGGCAUUGUGGUUGUUCUUCCUAGUCUCCUAAAGAAGCAGUUGUUUCUGAAACCUUCCCAAACUCAAAUAUAGCUGAAGUUGCUCAAAAUAUCAUGUGAAAAUCCCUCCUCUUCACCAGCCCCUCCACUGUAGAGGCUUCUUUGUGCUCACAGAAGCCCUAUAUUUCAGUGGUCUGUUCUGGAUGUCUAAACUUCUCAUAAGAAGUGAUAUUUUAUGGGGCCCGGUGCAGUGGCUCACGCCUGUAAUCUUAGCACUUUGGGAAGCCGAGGCAGGUGGAUCAUUUGAGGUCAGGAGUUAGAGACCAGUCUGACCAAGAUGGUGAAACUCCGUCUCUACUAAAUACAAAAAAAACAGACAGGAGUGGUGGCACAUGCCUGUAAUCCCAGCUAUUUGGGAGGCUGAGGCAGAAGAAUCGCUUGAAUCCUGAAGGCAGAGGUUGCAAUGAGCCAAGAUCGCACCAUUGCACUCCAGCCUGGGCAACAGAGCCAGAGCAAAACUGUCUCAAAAAAGCAAACAAAAAAAAGAUAAAGAAGAGGUGAUAUUUUAUUUACGUUAAAAAAAAAUGGACAGAUACUAGGUGUCUGAUUCCCAGACAGUUGUUAGCACAUUCUUUGUGUUCAACAAAACAUUCUAAUAAGAAGAGAAGAUUUGUAAAAACACAUAGAAGAAAUUGAUUAACAAACAUAAGUACAGUGAAAAUUAUCUGGAUUCUGGCUGGGCACGGUGGCCCGCACCUGUAAUCCCAGCACUUUGGGAGGCCGAGGUGAGUGGAUCACUUGAGGUCAGGAGACCAGCCUGACCAACAUGGUGAAACCCCAUCUCUACUAAAAAUACAAAAUUAGCCGGGCAUGGUAGUGAAUGCCUGUAAUCCCAGCUACUUGGGAGGCUGAGGCAGGAGAAUCACUUGAACCUAGGAGGCGGAGGUUGCAAUGAGGCAAGAUUGCACCACUGCACUCCAGUCUGGGCAUCAAGAGAGAAACUCUGUCAAAAAGAAGAAAGAAAGAAAGAAAUUGAUUAGGAAACACAAGUGCAAUGAAAAUUAUCGGGAUUUUGGCCGGACAUGUGGCUCAUGCCUGUAAUCCCAGCACUUUGGGAGGCCAAGGUGGGUGGGUCACCUGAGGUCAGGAGCUCAAGACCAGGCUGGGCAACAUGGCAAAACCCCGUCUCUACUAAAAAUACAAAAAUUAGCCAGGUGUGGUGGCAGGUGCCUGUAAUAUGGGAGGCUGAGACCCAAGAAUCGCUUGAACCCGGGAGGCAGAAGUUGCAGUGAGCCAAGAUCACACCAUUGCACUUCAGCCUGGGUGACAGAGCAAGGCUCCAUCUCAAAAAAAAAAAAAGAAAAUUAUCUGGAUUCUCAGGAAAUGUUUGAUUUGCUGAACAUAAGAGAAAAUUUUAGGAAUAGAAAAUAAGAGAAAAUUCAUUGACAGUAUAUAUUUAUAUCCUAUAUUUUCAAAUGUUAAUAUUAUAACUGUCAGAAAUAAUGCCACAUUUUAUUUAUUGAAGAGCUGAUUAUCCAGAUCUGAGAUUUUACAUAUCUUUUUUUUCUUUUUUCUUUUUAUUUUUAUUUGAUACGGAAUCUCGCUCUGUUGCCAGUCUGGAGUGCAGUGGCACAAUCUCAGCUCACUGCAACCUCUGCCUCCUGGGUUCAAGCGAUUCUCCUGCCUCAGACUCCUGAGUAGCUGGGAUUACAGGUGCGUGCCACCACGCCCAGCUAAUUUUUGAAUUUUUAGUAGAGAUGGGGUUUCACCAUGUUGGCCAGGAUGGUCUUGAUCUUGUGACCUCGUGAUCUGCCCGCCUCAUCCUCCCAAAGCGCUGGGAUUACAGGCAUGAGCCACUGCGCCCGGCUGAGAUUUUACAUUUUUUUUUUUUUUUUGAGACGGAGUCUCACUCUAUCACCCAGGCUGGAGUGCAGUGGCACGAUCUCGGCUCACUGCAACCUCUGUCUCUUGGGUUCAAGAGAUUCUUCUGCCUCAACCUGCCGAGUAGCAGGGAUUAUAGUUGCCGGCCACCACACCAGGCUAAUUGUUGUAUUUUUAGUAGAGACAGUGUUUCACAAUGUUGGUCAGGCUGGUCUCAAACUCCUGACCUUGUGAUCCACCUGCCUUGGUCUCCCAAAGUGCUGGGAUUACAGGCGUGAGCCACCGCACCCGGCCUUACAUAUCUUUUAUUACUAUUUUCUUCCUACACCAUCCCCGCAAUCUCCUGUAUUUUUAUCAAUUACAAAGCACGUGGAGUCAGGUGUGAAAUUUUUUUCUCUAAAUAUGGUUAGACUUCUAAGGCAAACCGUAUGGUUCCUGACUUCCUCUAAAGGAGGACUAAUGGGUCACUCCAUCUGGGGGGCAUCCCCAUUCUCUGGAGUAUUUUGACUAUAGCCUUGAGUUAAACACGUGGUUUGGUUGGCUGUACAUCAUGAUUUAAUUUCACAAGAAUCUUGCAUGUCUCAUUUCCUCAUACUAUCACUAAAAAGAUUUGAGGGGUUGACACUGGCUUUCAACCUCAGCUUCAGCACAGAAUCCAAAUUGUAGGAGUUAGGGAGUAUAUUAUGGUCUAAAUGUUUGUGUUACCCCCUUCUCCAUUCAUAUGUUGAAAUCCCAACCUUCAAGGUGAUGGUGUUGGGAAGUGGAGCGUUUGGGAAGCUAUUAGGACAUGAGGGCAGAGUUUAGUGUCCUUAUAAAAGAGGCCCAAGAGAGACAAGUCCUUGCGUCUUCUACCAUGUGAAGACUUAGCCAGAUGGCACCUUCUAUGAACAAGAAAGCAGGUGCUCACCAGAAACAGCACCUGCUGGUAUGUUGAUCUUGGACUUCACUGCCUUUAGAAUUGUGAGAAAUACAUUUCUUUUGUUUAUAAGCCACCCAGUUUAUGGUAUUUUAUUACAGCAGCCCAAACCAGCUAAGAUGGGGAAUUUCGAUGCUGAAAGAGGGAGGGAAAAUUAGAAUGCUGUGGCUAGCCACUGAUGAACCCAUGGACAGUUAGCUUUCAAACUUUUAGACUAUGAUUAAUAUACUAAGAAAAGACACUACAGCAGAUACAACUGUAGCCAACUUACAGUUGGGUAUUUUAUGUAUUUGUUUGUUUCUUUUAUUUCUCACCUUGUUCCAGAAUGUGAAGCAAAGCUAUCUUAUUAUUUCUCUUCCAGGACAGCAUCAGGAAAAUAUGAAGCUCUUGUUUCUUUUCUUUCUCCUUGGCCUGCAAAGGCCUGUGUUUAGCUCUGUAAUAAUUUCUUUUCAAACUUGAGUUGCUCAGGCAACUACACUCUUUGCUCUCUAACUUGACCCCAUUUCCUGAUGAAUGGUCUUUUCAUUUCUUUGCUAAGACCUAAAGGUUUUUACAUUCUGCAAUUUUCUCUGCUAAAUAGCUCUAGGCAUUACUGCUUAUAAAAUCAUAGACAAUCAUAAAACCUUAGAUUUGGAAGGAACCUUGGAGACCAUCUAAUCCUACCCCCUCAUUUUACAGUUAAAGAAAUUGAGUUCUCAAGAGGGUAAAUAACUUGUUCAGAGUCAUCCAGCUAAUUUGUAGACUGGGUAGUAUUUUCCCAAGCUAAUUUUUUGACUUGAAUAGAACUACAACUGAAACCAUUUUAAAGAGCACAUACUUUUACAUCUUGAUCCUUUUGAAAUAUAAUAAUAUAAUUUACAGAACCAAAUUUAUAAAAUCACCACUUUUAAUCCUGAAAAACACUGUGAUGUAAGAAAUGGCUAAAUGAGGUUCGUUAUUUACAUGCUUUUUAAUAGGCCAUGUAUUAAAACUCUGGUCUCAGAUUUACUAGUUAAUUGAAGGUUGGCUAAAUCAACCUAAAGAGAUUGCUUUGCUUUACCUAAUGACUUCUAUGGUGGAGGGCAGGGGCAGUUGAAAGAAAAUGGACCAACACAAACAGAGAGACAUAAUGUCAGCAUGGGAAUGAGGUUAGGCUCAAUAAUCUACUGUCAUUAUUAUUACUGUUAAUAUAAUAUCAUACUUUGUGUGCAUAACAUCAUGACUCUAGCUUGGCAGUAUGAAGUCCAGAUAAGAAAUUAUAAGUUACCUUUGUGUCCAGAAUUUUAAUCUAGCUAGAGCCAAAGAUGAGUCAUCCUCUUUUUACUGCGCACUCGCUUCAGACAGAGGGGUCCUCCUAUGUGGCCACAGGUAACUCAUAGAACCUUUGAAGAGCCACUUUUCUUGACUGCUCUAUAUCUCUCUUUGCAAAAUUGUGUAUCUCACAAGUAGGCUCAUUCUCAACAUUUGUGAGCUUAAUGGGAAUGUGCCAAUGGAUAUUUCUCACCCUGCUCCAAUGGAACACCCACCCUUCUGUCCAUACUGACCUCACAGAGACUUGUAAGUGCUCAGACUCUACCCCACAUAUCCAAGCUCUAUCCACAACUCCAAACACCAUACACAGCUGCCCCU
rnacentral:lncRNA from 1 species